UUUGAGCAUUAGGGUUUACAGUGUAGCCAAGACAUUGGGAUAUGUGCUAAUAAUUCACUUUGUAUAGGAAUAUGAUAAUCUGUAGAGUAACAGGUGUGACAACUUGCCCUGGUCUCUUGUACAUUGUGAUAUAAUGUUUAGAUUUUAUAAAUUUUAUUUGGUUAGACCGAAUAAAACAGCCACCAACAUGGACUUCGUGUGGAGACCCAGUUUUUUUAACCCAAUCUGCUUCUUUUAAGAAAAUAAACAAACCUCUUUCUCACUUUUUUCGUGCUCCCUCUCUAACUCUUUUCUCCCUGUGACUUGUAUAUGAUUCCCAGCAUUCUGUAAGCAAAUGCUUUCCCAUAUGGGGAAGCGCAGUGCUUUUGAGAGGAAGUUAAUUAUUUUAAAUAACUGUGUCUGUGCAGAGCCCGUGUGUUCCCAGGCAGGAAUGGCAAGGAGCCCUCUGUUGUUAAUGGUUUCCACAUGGACUCUCAGAGAGGCCGGCCAAGACUCCAGCACGGGCAGAAAUCUCCAAAUUUAGAAGAAAUAUGAAAAUUGUCAAACGUGCCUUCCUUAGGCUGAGACGGCGGGCCCGGCCCCCUAGCCUGAGCCCUCCCUCCCCAUCCCUUCUCAUCCUCGCACAUCGCGGGUCACAGCUCGGGGUCACGGGGGCUCUUACACCAGCCAAUCAAGCAGCUCGAGAGGCUUUCCCUGAUGUGCCGCUCUGAUGGUGGACCAGCCCCUUGCCUCAUAUAAGGUAAAAGAAAAGUCUUUGCUCCCCAAACCGGCCAUGCUUCAAAAAGGAGCCUCGCGCCGGGAACACACUUCAGAUGGUGGAGCGCGCGGCAUCCAUAGGAACAGAGCAGGGACCCCCUCUCUGCAUCUCUACCCAUCCCGACACCAAAUACCCAGCACCCUCCCACUCAACCAGAGUGGCCAGGACCAGUGCAAAUGAUCCUUCUUCUUCAAGACACAGACUGCGAGUCUGCAGAAGGAAAACUCUGCAUAGGUUCAACAUGGACAGUUGACACACAACAAGCUUCAGCUGUGUGUCAGACCGGCUGGCUGAGUGACAGACUGAGGAAUUCAUCCAAACCUCUGGUUCUUUAUAUGAGCCUGAGUCAUGAAUAUGAGACUCGUGUAAUCAACAGGACGUAGGAGGACACUGAUCAAAGAUGGUAAGAUGUCAAGCACAAAAGGAGUCCUGCAUGAUUCAUUCCCGCUACAGUCCUCAGGCCCAAGGUGCAGUGCUGCAUCUCUGGUCAACUGGGAGUCUGAGAUGAAGCACUGUAGCUCGGGAGGAAGGACACUGCCUGCUAAUACAUAAGGUACCUUGAUUUUACAUUACAGAUCUCUAUUAAUAAAAUGCUCAUUUAUAAUUAGUAGUUGCCUAACCAUUAUUGUUUAACAUUACGGACAUUUGAUAGGCCAAGUUUUGGUAGUGCUGUGAUGAAAUGUGUUUCUGUUGUUGCCAGUCUUCCAUCAUUUCCCCAUCCCCGGGGUCCAGUUUUCCCAGGAAUCCCUUGGGCAAUCACAAGGGGGAUUCCUGGAAAUACUGUUCUUGGGGGUGGGGCUAGACAACUGAAUAUAUCAAAUGAUAUUUUAGCUGUACCUCUUUUAUAUUAUGUAUUACUAUAAUCACAGUUGUAUUAUCACUAAUUUAGCAUGAUUGCCACUUUUAGUAAAUAUAUAUUGAUUAUCAUUCAAAAGUUUGGGGUUGUUGCGAUUUUGUGUGUGUGUGUGUUUUUGAAAAAGUUUCUUAUGUUCACCAAGGCAGUAUUUAUUUGACAAAAAUACAGUAAAAGCAGUAUUAUUAUGAAA